rnacentral:lncRNA from 1 species
GAGAAUGCUAUGGUAUGCCUGAAACUCAUGUAGAUGGGGAAAUAGUGACGAAAACCAGAAAAUCUAUGCUUUCAAGACAUUUGCAACUAAAACAUGUUUCUGUUGAACUUAUUGUAUCUGUAUUUUCCAAACUCACAUGGCCACAAAACUUGUGACUUUUCCUGAUCGCCCACUGAUGUGCUUCAGAACAUUCUGCAAAUCACAGUCUGGAAGACCAUGAGCUCAGUUGAAACAGGAGCUUGGUGAUCUCAAGGCUUUCUCCCGUCUCUGAACAGCCAGUUUUAACCAGGACAUUGAUGGCUGAUUCCUCAUUAUACUCAGGAAAUUGAAUGAAGCAGUAGGAUUAUUAUUAAAAACAACCUUCUCACUCUGCAGAGUUUCCAUUGAGAAACAGGCUCAGAGUAACAGCAACUAAGUAGUAGAUUUGUUCCAAGAUCUAAGGACAGAGAUGACUGACAAAGACAUUGUCCCCGAAGGAGGUGACAUGCUGUGGUGGAGUUCAGAGUGCCUGUGACUAUUCUAUGAAGCAGCCUGCUCCUGAGAGGGAGGAAUAUGAUGAGUGACCAGCCUUGAGCCUGCAUUUGUCCACGCACAGCCUGGACAUCUUCCCUUCCUGAGAAUGGCAGAGAGAGAAGCAGGACCUGGGCCUGGAUAGCAGUCACUGGGGAAGACAGAAGGUUGGAAGGGGACUUCAGGAUUGGCUCAAGAGCUAUAAGGACUGUCCUGGCAAUACCUACUCAUAUAGUUUUAGUGAGCCUAGUUUAUUCCUCUCUGGCCUCCUGUCUUCUUAGCAAGAUGAGGACAGUAGUCAUUCACACCCCAUAGGGACUCCAUACGCAUCAAACAGGAGAAAAAAAAGCCAUAAAAAUUAAGCAAGCAGUGUGCAAAGAAGGAUCUUAGGAGUUACUUAUUCCUUCACAAAGUACAUUUCAAAGAAAGCUAAACAAACUCCCCCAAACUUUCCACUCUUAGGGCUAUUUUUAUUUUGUGAUUUUCCAAGCCUCAAAACGAAAUUGGAAAAAAAAAAAGGGAGAAGAGAAGAAGAAAGAAAGAACCCUUGGCGGCUGCUUUUUAUAUGGUUUUAUAUGGUUUUAUAAGAGUGGGGAUGAAAUAGAAAUCAUGAUAGCACAAGGCCCCAAGUUUACAUUCUCAGAGGGAGGCCGAGCCGAGCCCAGCCGCUGGAAGCACUGAUGGCUUUAGGGAGGGCAGCUGAACUCACUAACGCCAGCCUGGUUCUAACGAGCCUGUGUAGUUUUAAGUGGUCUAAUCAGGCCCGCUUUUCACAAACACAAAUAAAUAAAAAUUGACGUUACAUCGGGCAACAAUAUGGCAUGGCCUAUGCAAUUAGAACCAGCUGAGUGUGUGCACCCCACGGUUUACAGAGAAGGCAGCCAUGCACUACACUCUGGGGACAGAUGUCUCUGUGGCUUCUCAACACACGUUCCAGGGCAGCAGUUCCCAAGCUCUCGCAAGGGGGAUGCAGUGUUACUUCUUUCAGCUGGUUCUGGGGCUCAUAUGUUACGACAGUCAUGUCAUAGGCUGGCAAAGCGCUGGGACGAGGUUUUCCCUUAAUGAAUGCACCAAAGGGAUGGAUCCAAUUGUUGUAAGGUGACAAAACCCUAGAGUUUCUCUGAGAAUGCUUUGACUCCAUGAAUUAAAAAAAAAAAAAAGGAACAAUGGAAGGAUGGGAGGCAAACCAUAGCAUAGAACUUUCAAUGAUUGUUCUAAGUUACAGAGCUAAAUGGGAUCAUUCCUGUCCAGGAAAGCCCCACUGCCCUGGGAACAGAGUCCAGGCUCUCCCAGCUCAGGUCUCAACGUUAGAUGCCAUUUUCUUGGACAGGUUUUCCAGGACGUUCCUUCUCAAAACGGAGGUUGGAAGACUGGGUCAGCAGUUCAGAAUGCUUGCUGCUCCGACAGCAUCCUGGAAUUUGGUUUCCAGCACCAACAUGGCAUCCCACAACCCUCUAUUGUCUGUAACUGUUGAUAGAUCCAACAUAUACUUCUGGCCUCCACAGCCACUGCACAUAUGUUGUGAACAGAAAGACAGACAGACAAAAACAUUCACACAAAUGAAAAAUAAAUUGCAGAAAACAACCAAGGUUGGCAUUUGCCUCAAGACUGAGUUGCCGCCUCUAUGGUUUUGUUUCCUUAUAAUCAUGUCACGAAGUCAUAACAGAUGGGUGACCCCAUAGCCAAUCUC